rnacentral:rRNA from 1 species
CCUACGGGGGGCAGCAGUGGGGAAUAUUGGACAAUGGGCGAAAGCCUGAUCCAGCCAUGCCGCGUGUGUGAAGAAGGCCUUCGGGUUGUAAAGCACUUUCAGUGGGGAAGAAAGCCUUGGGGCUAAUACCCUCGAGGAAGGACAUUACCCACAGAAGAAGCACCGGCUAACUCCGUGCCAGCAGCCGCGGUAAUACGGAGGGUGCGAGCGUUAAUCGGAAUUACUGGGCGUAAAGCGCGCGUAGGCGGUCUGAUAAGCCGGUUGUGAAAGCCCAGGGCUCAACCUGGGAACGGCAUCCGGAACGGGCAGGCUAGAGAGCAGGAGAGGAAGGUGGAAUCCCCGGUGUAGCGGUAAAAUGCGUAGAGAUAGGGAGGAACACCAGUGGCGAAGGCGACUUUCGGGACUGAAACUGACGCUGAGGUGCGAAAGCGUGGGUAGCAAACAGGAUUAGAUACCCCAGUAGUC